rnacentral:ncRNA from 1 species
GAAGGCGUGGGUAAUCUUGUGAAACAUCGUCGUGCUGGGGAUAGAUCAUUGCAAUUAUUGAUCUUUAACGAGGAAUUCCUAGUAAGCGCGAGUCAUCAGCUCGCGUUGAUUACGUCCCUGCCCUUUGUACACACCGCCCGUCGCUACUACCGAUUGAAUGGUUUAGUGAGGCCUUCUGAUUGGCGCCGCGGCCCCGGCAACGGAGCCACGGAUUGUCGAAAAGUUGGUCAAACUUGAUCAUUUAGAGGAAGUAAAAGUCGUAACAAGGUUUCCGUAGGUGAACCUGCGGAAGGAUCAUUA